rnacentral:rRNA from 1 species
AUGCAUGCAUGCAUGAAUUUACUGGUGUGGAACCGAUGGGUUGUUGGAAGCAAUUAG